CGCCAUGGUUUGUUAUCGUAUCGUCUUCCUACGUUUUCGUCACUUCCGGUUUGGCUGAGUCGAACAUUUCGUUUCUAAAAAACUUCGGGGAAGCUGCAAUAAAGUGCUUCUAACAUGCGUACGGCAAUUAUUAUAUUUUUUUAAUCAGGUGUGAUUGUUUUGGUACGUAAUUAUGCUUGUAUAUAAGUUAAAACGAAACUAUUUGAGGUUCCAUUUCCACUAUCCCUUUAAGUGACAGUAACUUUUUUAAUUUUCAAAGAAGUUCAACAAAACAAGAUUUCAAGAACAAUUUUGUACAUGUGAAUAAUAACUGUUGAACAUAUUGCACAUCCAGGUACGGUGGAACUGACUGUGGGUUCCCAGUCCCACAAGACGACUUGGGCCAGUUUGUUCUGGACUCGACCAACAGUCCAUGUGGAGACGACCACUUCCAGGAACACUUUGAGAACCUUCAAAGAACGAGUGGUCUAAUGCAACCCUUGACCUGGGAGUCUUGUGUUGCGAACUAUAUAACUAUGAAGAACAUGGCUAAUUUGUAAAUUGUUCUGCCGAUUGGAAAGCGAGAUGUCCGGUGAAAAAACAAUUGAGGUCUCGGCUGGAUUCCAGAUGGUGGCAGGGUGUUUAAUCCUGUUGAGAACAUCAGGAUGUCACUGAGGAGGAGUCCUGUUCGUUUUUCUGAGAAGAAAAAGUAGUAUUACGGUUUUUUGUUUUUUUUAAAUAUCAAGAUUGAUAGAACUGCCAUUAAUAGCUAAUUAUUUUAAGAUGUGAACAAUGUUGGAACUCAAAUAAACCUUCUUUUUCAAGGAGAUAGUCUCUCCAAAAUCCCAGCACCCUGGUUUCCUCAUGUCGUCUCGAGCUUCCUUUUUCGCUGCUGUGCUGAACCUCAAAGACUUCCUCCAAUGUGGCAGAAGUCAGCUCUACCACACAGCACAUAAAAGCUCUGAAAACACUUCCAUGCUGCUCCAAAGCAUGAAUCACAUCCAAGGCUUCAAGUCCGUCUUUGAAUCUAGGAAACAUUAGACACAAAGACCCAUCAAUCUACGAUCACCUAUCGCCAGGUUAGUAACAAUAUCUGAAAAAAGUAUUAGAACCAAUUUUAGAUCUACUUCAUUUCUUAAUGACCUCUGGGUUUUACAUGCAGUAAAGUAAAUCAAUCAAUAAUCUUUACAUAUUUCUGUUUCAUAUUUAAAUGUUUGACCAAGACCAAUAACAUAUAUUAAAUAAAGUCAGAAUAACUUCUGUGAAAGUAACUAAACUGAUAAUAAAAUGAUCUCCAAAUGCAGGAUUGUCCAGUGAAUCGAUAGCUGCAACUCUACCCUUGUAAACCCUCAAUCGCCUUGGUAUCACAAUUGGUCAUAGAACGCUUGAUUUAGGCUUUUCUUAUCUUUAAAUGUUUGUUCCGAGCUUCAAUACACGUUAAACUGCUUUUAAUAAUUUUAAUGAUGUUUUAAAUGCAAUUUUUGUAUUUUCUGAAAGCACUUGGAAUUGCUUUGUGUCUGAAUGGUGCUAAUAUAAAUGAUAACCUUGCUUGAACAUCUAAAUGGUGAUGUGUUUGACUCGAUAACAAUUAAAAUAUAUUGAACUUAGGUUAAACGGUGCAGAAACAUUACCUUCGUCUGGCAAAACGGUAAAUGAUGUACCACUGCAUGAAAUCCUUUAUGAUUGCGUUUUUGCCAUCCACACCAUCAGGGUACUGCAAGCAACCGGCAGUCUGCAACAAGCUGGAAUUUCUGUGGAUUGAUGCAUGUCGUUCCUCCAGUGUAGCUGCGCUGGAUAUCUAGGGUAGAAAACAAUCAUAAUCCAUAAACAUAAAUCAAUAUGCUGUCAAACUCGCAUAUGAAGGACGACCGGUAAUUUAUCAAAUUAAAAAUAUAUAUUCUCAAUAAUUGUAACAUCUUCUUUCCCUCCUAUGGUGUUCGGUUUACAUCUGACUGAUUUACUACUCUCAUUAAAUAGUAUCAUAAAUGUAAGCUUCUUCUUCUUCUUCUUCUUCUUCUUCACUUAAUUACCCCAAUCAUUUUUGACCAGCUGCAGAGGGGAGCAAGAAUUAUGAAUGAUACCUAAUGUAAGGAGUUGCAUUAAUCAAAGUGGCAAGAUAUUAAAGCGUAUCUAUAUCCAUGUCAUGAAAGGAGGAAUAUAUUUUUAAUAUUGUUCUAAGAUGACAAACUUGUUCUUACUCGUGUACAUUUGUUUUCAUCAAUGAUAUUUGUAAUGACAGUUAGGUAUGAUAAAUAAAUACGGCAUCAUUUCUAAUGGUUUGCCAUAACGGCUAGCUAACCUGUAGUGUCUCUACUUUAAAGAGUUCUCUCCUGUUGAUGUUCAGGUGUAUAUCAGUAUAUAGUGUCUCUACUUUAAAGAGUCCUCUUGUAAGGGUUUAGUGUUUUGUCUAUCUGUCUGUUGAUGUUAAUUGCUCUGCUCUCUCUCUCUCCAGGUGUCGGCACUUCCUGUCCGUGUGGCACCUGCUAGGCUGAUGGUUGUUCCCGCCCCUAAUUGUGUCCACCUGUGUCCCAUUACCUAAAGUGUAUAUUUGGUCCGCCUCUCCCUUUGUCUGGUGUUGGUUCGUCUUGUCUUUUCGUCAUGUCCAUGCCUGUAGUCCAUAGACCUGUUCUUGCACUACCUAGUAGAACCUAGAGAUUCUUGGAGAGUCCUAGUAGAUCCUAGAAGUUGAUUGGAAAGCUUUGUAUUCUUGGAAAUAAAGAAUAUUACAAAGCAA